rnacentral:rRNA from 1 species
GAUGAACGCUAGCGGCAGGCUUAAUACAUGCAAGUCGUGGGGCAGCACAGGGUAGCAAUACUUGGGUGGCGACCGGCAAACGGGUGCGGAACACGUACGCAACCUUCCUUCAGGCGGGGAAUAGCCCAGAGAAAUUUGGAUUAAUACCCCAUAAGAUUUUGAGAUGGCAUCAUCUUAUUAUUAAAGAUUUAUCACCUGAAGAUGGGCGUGCGGCUGAUUAGGUAGUUGGCGGGGUAACGGCCCACCAAGCCUACGAUCAGUAGCUGAUGUGAGAGCAUGAUCAGCCACACGGGCACUGAGACACGGGCCCGACUCCUACGGGAGGCAGCAGUAAGGAAUAUUGGUCAAUGGACGCAAGUCUGAACCAGCCAUGCCGCGUGGAGGAUGAAGGUCCUCUGGAUUGUAAACUUCUUUUAUCUGGGACGAAAAAAGGGUUUUCUAACUCGUCUGACGGUACCAGAUGAAUAAGCACCGGCUAACUCCGUGCCAGCA